rnacentral:rRNA from 1 species
GACGAACGCUGGCGGCGUGCUUAACACAUGCAAGUCGAACGAAGUGGCGAACGGGUGAGUAACGCGUAAUUAACCUGCCCUUCAGAGGGGAACAACAGUUGGAAACGACUGCUAAUACCGCAUACGGAAGGAGUGGAUUGCGUCGGAUUAGCCAGUUGGGUGGGUAACUGCCCACCAAGGCGAUGGUCAGUAGCCGGUCUGAGAGGAUGAACGGCCACAAUGGGACUUGGACACGGCCCAGACUCCUACGGGAGGCAUCAGUGGGGAAUCUUCCGGAAUGGAGGAAAGUCUGACGGAGCAACGCCGCGUGGGUGAGGACGGCCUUCGGGUUGUAAAGCUCUGUUAAUCGGGACGCGGUACCCGAAGAGAAAGCCACGGCUAACUACGUGCCAGCCGCCGCGGUAAUUC